GGGGAUGUAAUGGUUUCGACAUGUAUGUUUAGGUAGUUAAUGCAGUAGUGUGGUAGACUAUAAUUACUUCUAGGUUUCUUAAACGGAAAAGAAAACAAAUCAGAAAGAUCUUUUGUUCUUUCACACCCAGCUUUUGCUGGAAACACAAAUCUUGCUUUUGCUUAGUAUAUAGCAUCAAGUUGCAUCAUUUCUCUCCUUAAGAAAUGAAUGUAGGUUUCAAGGAUCGAUUUAAUUUACUAAAGGAAUUAAAUUUAAAGUUCAAACUUUAGAAGCUAAUAUUAAGUUUUUGCCUGUUAGCUUAAUAUUGGUAAAUUAAAAUAGGAUAAACUGUAGACUUAGUUAUUGUAGACAUAUGUGGACCCGGGUUCGACUCCCGGCAUCUCCACCA
rfam:Mycoplasma pullorum strain B359_6, complete genome.